rnacentral:tRNA from 1 species
UGGCUCAGUCGGUUGAGCAUCUGACUUCAGCUCAGGUCAUGAUCUCACAGUUCAUGGGUUCGAGCCCCAU